UCACGGUCAGAUCGUCUCCGACAACCUGGAUAUCUGUGCUUUCAGUGAAGUUGGUCCAGGCUGUCCAGUCGUCCUGGUCAAAGGGAUCCUCGAUGGAAACCACUGAGUGAGAAGAUAUGUGGACAUUGCUCAUUGCACAGUUAUGAAAAUGAUUUAGUCAUGGGGGCCCCAGUGGACAAUGGUUGAGGCCCACACUACAUGACCGCAAUGUCCUGGCCAUGGACCUUUGCAUGCAUAUCGUACUGGAUGUUUAAUGAAAAGGAGUAAUAAUUGUAUAUUUUAAAAUAUGUUUGACUGACCUGAGAGUUUGUUUAAAACACGUAUAAUCAUUUGACUGCAUGUGCUACUCUUCUGUCUGACUCCUCUCUCUGAUGGAGAAAUUUGAAUAUCACAAUCUGUGUGAAGUUACCAUUUGAUCUAACACAUCCAACACGGUUGACAUAUUAUUUUAAUCAGACAGGGAUACCUUUGUCUUUGCCCAGCGUUGGUUUUUAGUACAAACAAAGUUGAUUGUUGUGACAAAGAGUCAUUUAAAUUUAACUUCCUGUUGGAAUCUGUAAUUGUUUGUGACGGUACAAUCGUUGGGAGUCAAUUAAUACAUUUGUACAAUGUACAAGUGUCAAAAAUUGGAAUUAACCUUUUUUUUCUCCUUCAGAUAUUUUUCCUUGGUUUUAUAAUAAUAAUAAUAAUAAUAAUUAUAAAUUGCAUUUGGUUCAUAUUCAUUAAAUCUUAAACUACACCUCAAGAUUAGCUUUGUACCAUUUAUUUGAAAAGUCAAAAAUGAUGGACUGAUGUUCUUGAAACAGGUGUUGUGUCCUGGCCUUGAGGAUUAAAAGAUCGAUGCUAGAAGAGUUUACAGAACAGCCAGUUCCCCUACCUUCAUGACACUAUAUUAACAUUAUUACUUCAUUGUGUGUCCUGCUCUCCUUUUGUUAAAUAAUGUGUAAAAAGAGAAAGUGUGUUACCUGGAUAAUCCUUCACAAAGCUCUUGUAGAGAUCAGCCAGCUCGUCGGGUGUGAUGUAACGGCUUGGGUCAUCAGGAGACUUGAAGUCCAGGUCGUAUUUUCCCUCCCUGUGGAAUUCAGACGCUGCCACAUCCAUGCCAAUCACAACCUCGUCUGUAUAUCCUGCUUUGGCAAUGGCCUCCUUCACUAACUCCAGAGCUGCAGGUUGAAACAAUAAACAAAUGUAAAUUUGCAGAGUAUCACUUAUCAUAUCAUCACAUCGCAUGACAGAAAUAGUCUACGACAGGUGCAUGGAUGAUGAUGAUGAUGAUGAUGUCUGAUGAUGAUGAUUAAAUUUCUUGUGUUGCAUUUAA